CCUUAAACUUUGCUGCACAGAUUACGCAUACGCAGUGUGAGCUGCACGGCAAAGUGCUAGCAAGAGAUAUGUAAACAAUUAAUAAACGAAAACAAUAUUAUGCAGUAGCUGCAGUAGCAGCAAAAGCAGCAACAACAAGAAUAGUAAUAGAACGUGCUAAAUUGAGUAAUAACAGCCACUUACAUACAUACAUACACAUGCCAACUGCGAGUGCAAAGCUAUUUUUGGUUUGAAAACGGUGACGGCGACGGCGACGACGACGGCGAAUUGCUAGCAGCAGCUACCACCUGAUGUUGCCGUCGGCAUCGCUGUCGUCGCUACAGUUAGUGGUUAGGCCAGGUCGAGGCAGUCGCAGCAGCGGCAGCCGCGGCAGCAGCGACAGCAGCGACAGCAGAGAGCUCAUACAAGUUAAAGAGCGUGAGCGACAGAGGCAGCACUAUUGACA